GGGAAGAGCCCAUCGCCGAAUCCCGCGGUCGCCACUGCCGCCGGGAAAUGUGGCGUUAGGGAGGGUCAACGUCUCGUUGCCAAGCGACGCGUCCAAGUUCACCUUGAACGGGGCCACUUACCCAUAGAGGGUGCCAGGCCCGUAGCGGCCGUCGCCGGUGACGGGGGGACCUCUCCUCAGAGUCGGGUUGCUUGAGAGUGCAGCCCUAAGUGGGUGGUAAACUCCAUCUAAGGCUAAAUACGACCACGAGACCGAUAGCGAACAAGUACCGUGAGGGAAAGUUGAAAAGAACUUUGAAGAGAGAGUUCAACAGUACGUGAAACCGUUCAGGGGUAAACCCGAGAAACUCGAAAGAUCGAACGGGGAGAUUCAGCGCGUUCCGUCGGUCGCGAGCGGCGAUCGUGCGACGGUCGGCGUCCGCGUCGGCCGCGCCGUCGACGCCGCGGCCCGGCGGACGCGUGCACUUCUCCCCCAGUAGAAAGUCGUGACCCGUUGGGUGCCGGUCUACGGCCCGCGGUGGAGUCCGUGCGGGACGGUUUCGACCACCCGUCGGACCCGCGGUGCCCGGCCGGCACGCCCGACGGUUUUGACAUUGGUGCAGGGUCGCGACUCUGUUCGCGUUCGGCGCGCGGCAAGCGCUAACGGUUCAAGCCGGCCGUCGGACCUAGCGCCGACGCCGGACCCGGUCGGCUGUUGGCCGUGACGUUCUCGAACCUGGCCCCGAGAGCCUUCGGGCUCGUCACCGGUCCACGAGGCUUUUGCAUUGGGUACUCUCGGGACCCGUCUUGAAACACGGACCAAGGAGUCUAGCAUGUGCGCGAGUCAUUGGGACCGUAGCGAAACCUAAAGGCGAAAUGAAAGCGAAGGCCGGCUUAUGCCGUGCCGAGGGAGGAUGCGGC
rnacentral:rRNA from 1 species